UUGCUGUUGAGUUGGGAGCCGUGUCUCAGCUCCGCCCGCUGCACCACUCGGUUUACAGGCCCCACCCACAGCCGCACCCUCUUUUGCCGGGUAUUUAAUUCUCUCUAAGAUGGUCUGAAAUCCAACUUCCUUGCAGUUGGUUCGUUGCGAGGUUCUGUACAGAAACAACCGGGUCACACUUCCCAGCGGGAUGAUGUCGGCGGUUUCACUCAGUCUGUUCCUGGCGUUAAUAGUCCGUGUCCAUUCCGAUAUCGUUCUCACUCAGCCCAAGACAGAGGCCGCCACUCCUGGAGGCUCCAUCACACUGACCUGUGAAGUCACCGGGUUCGCUCUUAGCACCUACGCGAUGGCUUUGGUCCGUCAGGCCCCCGGGCAGGGGCUGGAGUGGCUGCUUCGCUACUUCAGUUCUUCUAACAAGCAAUUCGCUCCGGGGAUAGAAAGCCGAUUUACUCCGUCCACAGACCAUUCGACUAACAUAUUCACCGUGAUCGCCAGGAACCUGAAGAUCGAAGACACCGCUGUCUAUUACUGUGCGAGAGACACAGUGUGAGGAUUCAGUGUCAGGUCCGUACAAGAACGGCACGUUGGGAAGUCCAGCUUUUACCAUCAAAGGCUAGAGGUGAGCAAUUAUUUCAACAGCUAUAAUAGCAGUUGGGAAAUGGAGGCAAAGCACCAUUCGCAAAUCCAACACGAUAUUAAAAAAUGUAACCAAAUGUAUGAGGUUUUUUUAUUCGCUUC